ensembl:lncRNA
GGAGUCAGAGCCCCCAUCCGUGGUGUUGACUGCCUCAGGAGAGGACUGGAGCCCACCCCUGCUUGACUUCUUUUCUCCAGGACGAUGGCUAAAGACAGCAUAUCCCUGCGCUCCCUGAGCAAGACAUUAAACAGGUCUUUAAAGGGUUGUGCUAAUGCUAUGUUAGGGGAUAAGUGGCAUACAGGACUGGGGCAGGGGGAGAGGAGACAAGAUUAUGCUGUGGUCUGUUAGCAAGAUAAUCUGUACUUUGGACAUUUUCACAGGUAAUAGGAUGUAAACAAAUACAGUGUGUAUGUGGGAAGAGGGUAGUUCAUGAGCAAUCCUCUUGUUUCUCCUUUAUUUAUUGGAGAGGGAGAGAACAGAGCAGAGGGCUGCAGCACUUCAUGAACGCCAUCCUUGCCAGCUUCAAGCUGCUGGUCCUGGCAGCUUGCUGCAGGAUUCUGUGCAAGUGCUUGAUCAGCAAAGGCUGGUAGCUGCACGAAGUGCUGCCAGGAGCUUGUCGGUAACAGGAAAUUCUGGUUUGUGCUCUGCUGUAGUUCUGCUGUAAAUGGGCGAUUGGGAAUGGACUUCCAAAUUUGGGAAAAUAUCUCAGCACUUACAGGGUUCAAAGACAGGAAGCAAGUGGUUGUAGUUGACAAAAAGCAAGACAAACCCUUCUGUAUUUUAAGAAAGAAAAUCAUUGUGACCAAGGAAUUGGGACAUGGGUAACGCUGAGUCACCUUCUAUUUCCAAAGCCUGUACAUAAAGAGGCUUGCAAAAAAGCUUUGAUUGACAGCUUCAUCGGCUUCAAUUAUAGUCUGGCACCUGCUUCCCCUGCUGGCACCUGUCCAUGUGUUCCACUGCACAUAACAGCACCAUCACUGCUCGGUGGUGUCUGAUCAUCCAGGUGGGCAACAGCAGCAGCACCAAACGAGAGCCACGGCCGCUGCUUGUCAGGAAGGGAAGAGUGGAAAAGGGGUCUGAAACCUGCACAGUUAAAAGACAAGGAGAACCACCAUACAAAAGGGAAAACCAAAGCAGGAAAAGCCAGCAGAGAACAAAAGCCACUGAGGGCAGCUUGGUUUAUUAUUUGCAUAAUUUGUUAUCUGGGGAAGAACGAGAAGUUCUGUUCGAUGUCAAAUGAAAAGGGUUGAGGAGGUCAGGACAGCGCAAGUAAAAGGAAAAACGACCUCAGUGUUAGAAAAAUAAAAGAACCUCCUACCACUGACAUCCAUGCAAGUGGUUGAUACCUACAACCCAAACACAGGUAUACCUAACACAAACCUUUCCUACGGCUCUGUCUGCAUUUACAAGCUAUGAGAUUUCUACACCGGGGAAGGGUCAAAGGGACAUAGGUGGCAUCAGAAGAUGGAAUUUCAAACGGUGUAUGAAUCUGUAAAAGAAGUGAAUGAACUCACAGUUGGCUUGGGAGGAACCUCAGUAUCUGGCCUGGAUCAGCUCAGUGGAAUGCAUCACCACACGCAGAAAGCACAGCGCGUUGAGGCCCAGGUUCUAAACCAAUGCUUGUUUCCCACUCUCCAGAGUAGAAAGCAGGCUGCAAGCCUUGGAGACGCGGUUCCAAGACCUGGACUCAAGCCUGCAGAAGCUGGAGCAGAAGUUUGAGGUGCAGGCCGAGCUCCUGGAGAAGGAGAGGAGCCAGGACACAGCGUGGACAUCGGCGCUGGAAGACAGGUGGGCGGCAGGGGAGGGCCAGCACCAGCUGCCCUGAGCCCUGCACCUGCAGGCAGUAUGUGCACUGCAGUGUGUAUUUAUACAGCCUGAAUUACCACGUGUUAUGGAGACAGUAAGGUUCGUUUGAUUUAAGUCGCAGACAGCUGUUCAUUUGAAAUAAAUAUUUGUGUGGUAAAGAGCCAUACUACUUCCCAGAGACCGGGGAUGGGGAAAAAAGAACACGGGUGUUCUGACUCCCUUCUGCUAGUAAGGCCCAGAGAUCGUACUUUGAGCACUGACUCUGAGGUUAGAGUUCAAUAUCACGAGGCUGUCUGUCUUCUAAGAGAGCACGCUGACAUCAGUUAGCGGAGCAGCUGUUGCUGAAGUGCCGCCGGAGAGGCCGCGCGGUGCAGGUAGCCGCCUUACAGCACGAGCUGUACAGAACCGCUUCUCACCUACACAGUCAGACCGCACAGCGCCGCUCCCAGCCGGAAGCUGCAGCCCAGCUGCGGGGCCGCGCGGCACGGAGCGCUGCGGCUCUUCCUGUUUGCUGCUCCCACACGGAGCGCGGCGCCUCGGCCGGCCUUCC